AAACGGGAGCAGACGACGGCCUGAACUGUCGCGGUCGUCUGCCACGGAGCACCGCCUGUUCCGUCUGGUCCGUCGCUGUCGUCUGCUACACCGUGUCACGUGCUGCUGCUGUGGCAGUUCCUCUUUUGAAACGAAACAGUCGAAAACCUGAACCGUCAUCCUCAUCUGCCACGGAGCUCUGCGUGCGCAUCUGCUCCGUCCGCAUCCUUCGCUCCGUGCGCGCCACGUGCUUCGUUGAAAGUCGUGCUCGCUGAUGAAAACGAAGCUUUCAACUACCCAAUCGCGACGCAACCAUCCACGAGGCGCUUUGAUAAUCAACUCGCACUCUUUUGACGAGCCACGUGUCGACUGCUUCUAGUUUCUCGCCUGUGAGACCCGGUCCCUGUGUUUGUCCGCCUUCUUGGGUCGCCUGUGCUUGUCCGCGUGUUUGAGCGGCCUCCGUUCGACGAGUUCUUUCGAGAUCUUCGGAAGUGUGUUGUUCCCACGUCGAAAACUCGCGGAAUUAAGUGCGAACACGUGUUCCAGAGACGUGCUUGCGGAUCGACAGAGACAAUCAUUGGCCUGCCAUUAAAGACUGGAAUGAUCCUGGCUUCAGCGGGCCACCGUUCCUGAAACUGCUGAGAACGUCGGACUCAGCCAGGACACUUUCUCUGCAUUUUCAAUUUGGU